GAUGAACGCUAGCUACAGGCUUAACACAUGCAAGUCGAGCGAAUGAAGUUCCUUCGGGAACGGAUUUAGCGGCGGACGGGUGAGUAACACGUGGGCAACCUGCCUCAUAGAGGGGAAUAGCCUUCCGAAAGGGAGAUUAAUACCGCAUAAGAUUGUAGUACCGCAUGGUACAGCAAUUAAAGGAGUAAUCCGCUAUGAGGUGGGCCCGCGGCGCAUUAGCUAGUUGGUGAGGUAACGGCUCACCAAGGCGACGAUGCGUAGCCGACCUGAGAGGGUGAUCGGCCACAUUGGGACUGAGACACGGCCCAGACUCCUACGGGAGGCAGCAGUGGGGAAUAUUGCACAAUGGGGGAAACCCUGAUGCAGCAACGCCGCGUGAGUGAUGACGGCCUUCGGGUUGUAAAGCUCUGUCUUCAGGGACGAUAAUGACGGUACCUGAGGAGGAAGCCACGGCUAACUACGUG
rnacentral:rRNA from 1 species